rnacentral:rRNA from 1 species
UGGGGAAUAUUGCGCAAUGGGGGCAACCCUGACGCAGCAACGCCGCGUGCAGGAAGACGGUCUUCGGAUUGUAAACUGUUGUCGCAAGGGAAGAAGACAGUGACGGUACCUUGUGAGAAAGUCACGGCUAACUACGUGCCAGCAGCCGCGGUAAUACGUAGGUGACAAGCGUUGUCCGGAUUUACUGGGUGUAAAGGGCGCGUAGGCGGAUUUGCAAGUCAGUCGUGAAAAUACCGGGGCUCAACCCCGGGGCUGCGAUUGAAACUGCAGACCUUGAGUAUCGGAGAGGAAAGCGGAAUUCCUAGUGUAGCGGUGAAAUGCGUAGAUAUUAGGAGGAACACCAGUGGCGAAGGCGGCUUUCUGGACGACAACUGACGCUGAGGCGCGAAAGUGUGGGGAGCAAAACAGGAUUAGAUACCC